rnacentral:rRNA from 1 species
AGAGCGAACGCUGGCGGCAGGCCUAACACAUGCAAGUCGAGCGCCCGUAGCAAUACGGGAGCGGCAGACGGGAUAGUAACACGUGGGAACGCGCCCUUCGGUUCGGAAUAACUCAGGGAAACUUGAGCUAAUACCGGAUACGCCCUUACGGGGAAAGAUUUAUUGCCGAAGGAACGGCCCGCGUCCGAUUAGCUAGUUGGUGAGGUAAUGGCUCACCAAGGCGACGAUCGGUAGCUGGUCUGAGAGGAUGACCAGCAUCACUGGGACUGAGACACGGCCCAGACUCCUACGGGAGGCAGCAGUGGGGAAUAUUGGACAAUGGGCGCAAGCCUGAUCCAGCCAUGCCGCGUGGAUGAUGAAGGCCUUAGGGUUGUAAAGUCCUUUAACGGGAAGAUAAUGACGGUACCCGUAGAAUAAGCCCCGGACUAACUUCGUGCCAGCAGCCGC